AACACAUGCAAAUGUUCUAGAUCAUUUUGAUUCUGGCUCUGAAAGAUAUUAAUACUUUAAUAUUUCUUCAUUAUCAGACUCUUUUAUCCAAAGUGAAAUACAAAUGAAGAAUACUACAACAAAAGUGAUCCAUCCUGAAAUAUAUUCAUCUUGACUAAAGUCAUAAUUACAAAAUGAAAACAAAGAUCCAAACCACCCAAAUAAUUAAUAAUAAUUGAUUUGAUUAAACUCUAAUAUCAGCAGUUUAAACACACCAAAAGAGUCAUUCAAUCAGAAUGGAAAAUCACCCUGUUAAAAUAUUAUUGAUCGAUAGAUACACAAGUAAAAUAAUUAUAAUCUGAAUGUAACAUGAAUGGGAAAACAUAAUUAAUAAAAAGAAGUUUAAAAGCAUUUCAUAAGAGUUUGGAAACAGUCCGCUGCUGGUGUCUGGUGUGGUCCGGUGUAUUGUCUGGUUCUGCUGGUGUCUGGUGUGGUCCGGUGUAGUGUCCGGUUCUGCUGGUGUCUGGUGUGGUCCGGUGUUGUGUCCGGUUCUGCUGGUGUCUGGUGUGGUCCGGUGUAGUGUCCGGUUCUGCUGGUGUCUGGUGUGGUCCGGUGUAUUGUCUGGUUCUGCUGGUGUCUGGUGUGGUCCGGUGUAGUGUCCGGUUCUGCUGGUGUCUGGUGUGGUCCGGUGUAGUGUCCGGUUCUGCUGGUGUCUGGUGUGGUCCGGUGUAGUGUCCGGUUCUGCUGGUGUCUGGUGUGGUCAGGUGUAGUGUCCGGUUCUGCUGGUGUCUGGUGUGGUCCGGUGUUGUGUCCGGUUCUGCUGGUGUCUGGUGUGGUCCGGUGUAGUG